GGAGCUUGCUCCCUGGGUGACGAGCGGCGGACGGGUGAGUAAUGUCUGGGAAACUGCCUGAUGGAGGGGGAUAACUACUGGAAACGGUAGCUAAUACCGCAUAACGUCGCAAGACCAAAGAGGGGGACCUUCGGGCCUCUUGCCAUCAGAUGUGCCCAGAUGGGAUUAGCUAGUAGGUGGGGUAAUGGCUCACCUAGGCGACGAUCCCUAGCUGGUCUGAGAGGAUGACCAGCCACACUGGAACUGAGACACGGCCCAGACUCCUACGGGAGGCAGCAGUGGGGAAUAUUGCACAAUGGGCGCAAGCCUGAUGCACCCAUGCCGCGUGUGUGAAAAAGGCCUUCGGGUUGUAAAGCACUUUCAGCGAGGAGGAAGGUGGUGAACUUAAUACGUUCAUCAAUUGACGUUACUCGG
rnacentral:rRNA from 1 species